ensembl:lncRNA
GGACCUGGGACCCACCACCGAACUGCUUGCACCUGGACAGUCUUCUCCAGCAGCAGCAUACAAAGAAACAAGUUGUUUAUUAACUAAGUAGUGUCCAACUCUUUGCAACCCCAUGGACUGCAGCACGCCAGGCUUCCCUGUCCUUCACUAUCUCCUGGAGUUUGCUCAAACUCAUGUGCAUUGAGUCAGUGAUGCCACCCAAUCAUCUCAUCCUCUGCCGCCUGUUUCUCCUCUUGCCUUCAGUCUUUCCCAGGAGUCUUUUCCAGGGCUGCUGGAGCUGCUCAGGGAGUCAUCUUGGCUGCUCUCUGCAAGGACAAUGAUGUGGGGCCAGCAAACAGUUCAAGAACAAGCGUGAGGAGCCUAGGCUGCUGGCUCAGGAAGGACUUUCGAGGCGCC